rnacentral:rRNA from 1 species
AUACGGAGGGGGUUAGCGUUGUUCGGAAUUACUGGGCGUAAAGCGCACGUAGGCGGACUGGAAAGUUGGGGGUGAAAUCCCGGGGCUCAACCCCGGAACUGCCUCCAAAACUUCCAAUCUAGAGAUCGUGAGAGGUGAGUGGAAUUCCAAGUGUAGAGGUGAAAUUCGUAGAUAUUUGGAGGAACACCAGUGGCGAAGGCGGCUCACUGGCUCGAUACUGACGCUGAGGUGCGAAAGCGUGGGGAGCAAACAGAAUUAGAAACCCGAGUAGUCC